rnacentral:rRNA from 1 species
UACGUAGGGUGCGAGCGUUAAUCGGAAUUACUGGGCGUAAAGGGCGCGUAGGCGGCCUGUUAAGUCGAACGUGAAAUCCCCGGGCUCAACCCGGGAACUGCGUCCGAUACUGGCAGGCUUGAAUUCGGGAGAGGGAUGCGGAAUUCCAGGUGUAGCGGUGAAAUGCGUAGAUAUCUGGAGGAACACCGGUGGCGAAGGCGGCAUCCUGGACCGGUAUUGACGCUGAUGCGCGAAAGCCAGGGGAGCAAACGGG